UACGUAGGCAGCAAGCGUUGUUCGGAAUUACUGGGCGUAAAGAGUGUGUAGGCGGUGCUCUAAGUUCGGUGUGAAAUCUCCCGGCUUAACUGGGAGGGUGCGCCGGAAACUGGAGUGCUUGAGCGUGGGAGAGGAAAGCGGAAUUCCUGGUGUAGCGGUGAAAUGCGUAGAUAUCAGGAGGAACACCGGUGGUGUAGACGGCUUUCUGGACCAUAGCUGACGCUGAGACACGAAAGCCGUGGGUAGCAAACAGG
rnacentral:rRNA from 1 species